UACGUAGGGGGCAAGCGUUGUCCGGAAUCAUUGGGCGUAAAGAGCGUGUAGGCGGUCCGGUCAGUCGGUUGUGAAAGUCAAGGGCUCAACCCUUGAAUGCCGGCCGAUACUGCCGGGCUAGAGUCCGGAAGAGGUGAGUGGAAUUCCUGGUGUAGCGGUGAAAUGCGCAGAUAUCGGGAGGAACACCGGUGGCGAAGGCGGUUCUCUGGGCCUUACCUGACGCUGAGGAGCGAAAGCGUGGGGAGCGAACAGG
rnacentral:rRNA from 1 species